GAGGAUAUAGCUCAGUGGUAGAUCGCGUGCUUAGCAUGCAUGAGGUCCUGGGUUCAAUUCCCAGUACCUCCA
rfam:Camelus ferus unplaced genomic scaffold scaffold1089, whole genome shotgun sequence.